rnacentral:lncRNA from 1 species
UCUGACUCUUCCUCGAGAGGCGUGCUUUUCUCUCAUGCCUAAGCCCCCCAUGCACGAAACGGUACCCUCUCCCUUCCUACCUCCUCCAUCUAUAAAUACAUGAUCAUGCAAAGCUUUGAAGAUAUAGCAAUCCAUUGCAAGUUGUAACAACUUUAGAAACUCAAAAAACCUUCAGCUCUCAGUUCUCACGUUCAAAAACUUUCCAAGUUCACCAUGUCUGACAAGUGCGGCAACUGUGACUGCGCUGACAAGAGCCAGUGCGUGUAAGUAAUCGAUAAUCCAUCCAUGAUAAACUUCCUUCUAGGGUUGUGUGUGGCUUGAGAUUGUGUUGUUGUUUUAAGUUAUGUUCAUUUCUGCCAUGUCACCGUCAGGCUGAAUAAAAACUUCUCAAUAGCAGCCAUUUUAUCUUUUCCAACCAUGUUUCCUCAGGGACAACCUGUGGAAACUCGAAGUAAUUGUUAUCUUUAAGCUCUUUGUGAGUUUGCAAUCAAGUAUCAUUGAAACUAAAGGCUUUUUUUUUGCUUUUCUAUGCUUACAGGAAGAAGGGAAACACCUUGGUCAUUGAGACCGAGAAGAGGUAUACUUUCUGCACUUCACUCUGAUAACUGCAAAGAAACAAAACAAUAAUAAACAUAAAAUUUCAUAUGCUACUAAGACCUAAGCCAUUCCUUAGAUUUUCAAACAAGCAAUCAAAAACUUCUUGAUCUGAUGCAUGAUUUUCUACAUACAUAUUCUCCUAAGUACUUAUCUAGAGAGGCAAAAAGAAAUAUGUUUUUCGCAGUUGAUGAAUCGAGGAUUAAGAAAUUUAAUUUGAAGUAUACAUAUGCUAAUUAUAAUCUGUAUUGUGUUCUUUCUGUGCAGCUACAUCAACACUGUUGUCGUUGAGACUCCAGCUGAGAAUGAUGGCAAGUGCAAGUGCGGAGCUAGCUGCAGCUGCACAAACUGCACAUGUGGUGGUCAUUAAGCAAACAUAAAAUAAUAUUGUUGUAGUUCAUGGCGAUAUCAUGACCUAAAAAAUAAUGAAAUUUGGGUUGAAUGAUUUGUCUUUUGUUGUCUGUCUGUCAUAUGUUUGUGUCUCCUUACAUACUGUGAUCAUGUAAUGGCCAUGUCCAUGGACUUGUCUUGUUAAUGAAUUACUAUUAGUAUAACUUUUCUCUGCUUUGAUCUUUCUUUUACACCGGCUAUGUGUACAAGGUAAAGGUAAAGUUGCAGUUUGAUUAUAUUCUGGGACUUGAACUGGAAUUUAUUCUCCUGAACUAGAACCCGCAAAACGAAGGGUUAAGAGAAUAGCUAAUCCUGAAAAAUUAUUUCCAUUAUUUUUGAGCUUUGAUCACCCAGAGAUCAAUAUAUUCUGUAAAAGGAUACAGUCCAGACAAAAGGAUAAAAAGAAACUGAGAAUCACAAUAAUCUGUUCACCAUUUUGGCUUCCAUUAAUAAUUAAAUUGUCAUCAAGUUGCCAUCUUUCCACUAAGUGUAUACAAUUUUCUUUGCUCAAACAACAACACACAAUUAAUAAGAGAGAAAAUUGACAUGGAGAGUCAGCUACUAAAAGAUAAAAAAGGGGAAAAUGUUUAUUCAUGGAACCAAGACAUACAGAGACUUGUCUCUGUCCAUAUCCUGACUCAUGAAAGUAUUCUGGCAGUUCCAAUUCAUUCCACAGAGGUAAACAACCUCAUAAAAACAAAGAAUAUGAGAAAAAUGAAUAGUUGGGAUGCAUCCAACACCAAUUUCCCAAAAAAGAUAUCUUUCCUUUAUUCCUAGAUUUUUCAAAUCAUAUCGGUGUAAUCCUCUAAUAAAUAGUUUGUACCUCAAAUUCUUUCAUUCUAUAAACUUUGAAUACCAAUCUCAAACAUUGAAGCCCUCUGCACGAAGGAAAAUACGAUAAGCCUCUAUCCAUUUUGCACAAGCUUUUUUACCAUGCUCAACGAUGCAUUCGUCUCUGAGCUUCUUCGUCUCAGGGCAAGCACAGCAAAUUUUCUUCUUUGGCUUUGAUUCUGCACCAGAUUUUUUUUGCUGACCCUUGAUUUUGUUGCAAGACAAGCAAAGCUAAGGCAGAGGUAUUUUGAUUAGGUAACCCACUGUCAUAAUCUAUAAAUUCAUAAAUAUAUAGUUAAACCUAACAAAUAGAGUCGUCACUAAAUGUAGUUGAUCACUUAAAGAAUCUAUUAUUUUAAGGAGUUUAUAAGUUUGACUAAAGGUUUUUAAAAAAAUAAAUUCAGGUCUACUGACCAAAAUAAGGUUAGGAGUUCGGUUACAUAUAGGAAAUGUUAUAGCACCUCCCAUACCCAUCCAAAAAAAGUACUAUUUUAUUUUAAUUUAUCAUAAAGUCUUGAUUCUAAUGAUUUUAUGUUUUUAUGUUUUUAUGUUGAAUAUUGAAAAUAAUUUUUAAGAUUUUUCAAUCAAUCUGACAGAAUUUUUAAAAAUACAUCAUCACUUUAAAAGUAUUCAAGAAUCUCAUUUGAUAUAUUAAAGAGGCUCCGUCAUCGAAAAAAGUUUUUUUAUUUUGAUUUGAUUUUUAUUUGAAAAUAUAUCUAAUUAUUACACCAUUUGUGUCAAAUUAAAAAUAUUUUUUCUUUUGAAUUUAUAAAUUUUUUACCAUUUGGGCCUAUUUAGAAUUUUUUUUUUUAGAGAAAUAAUAUGACAAUUAUUUUUCUUAAAAUUUCAUUUAAAUUCUUCUACUAUUUGAUAUAAAUUUAAAAAAAUUUCUCACCUAAAAAUUUCUUGGGAAUUUACCAUUUGAAAUUUUUAAGAAUCUCAUUCUUGGAUAAUUAUCAAAUACUUUCAACCAAAUUUGGAAAAGAAUACAAUUACUUUUAUUGAAAUUUUAUUUAAAUUAUUCCACAAUUUGGAUAAAUUUAGAAAAAAUUUCUCACAGAGAAAAUUUCUCACAUAGAGAAUUCUUAGAAAUUUACUGUUUGAAAUUUUUAAGAAUCUCAUCCUUGAGUAAUUUGUAUUGAAUUCCAAAAUUUUUAUUUAAAAUUUUUUUAUUUUUUUUAUUUUUUUAUUUUUUUUGUUUGAAAAUAAAUAUUAAUAAUUGUUAUUGAAAUUUUAUCUAAAUUAUUCUACCAUUUAGGACAAAUUUAGACAAAAUUUUUCAUUUAAAAAUUUUAUAAAAAUUUAUCAUUUGAAAUUUUUAUAAAUUACAUCAUUGGAUAAUUAAUACUUAUUCUCAAAAAAUAUUUUAUUUUUUCUAUUAUUUAUGUAUUUCUUUUAAUUUUCUCCUAAAAUCCAAACAUGCAAGCUAUUUCAAAAAUAAAUUAAUAAAUAAAAAUGAAAAUGAAAACAGAGAGAAAAUAUCAAAAAAAAAAAAAAUCGGUUCGGUUUAGUGGGUGUUACAGCUAUACAAGGAUUAGGAGAUUGAAAACUUAUAUGUAAGGCUAUACUUUGUUCUCAUAAAAUCUUCCAAGGUUGAGAUCGAACACUUCAAUUAGACUAUCCCUCAACACAUAGCCCCAAAUCAUAUAGCAAAUUCUGAAGCCCCAAUUUCUUCUCAGCAUGGAAGUUGAAGCUUUUUAAUAUUUGGUUUGCCAUGGCCCGAUGAGGCAUAACAUGAUCAAAUACUCCAGUUGUAUGAUCAUUCAUUGACUCGUCAUCAAAGGAUACGUAUGCUCAUGCCGUGAAAUCCAUAAAUCUUUGCACUUCCUUGACGAAACAAGGGUUCGUACUGCAUAUUUUGUUGGGGGAGGGUUGAGAAUCUUUUCACGAAGUGGAUCAUGCAGAUUGCUUAUUCAACAACUUUCCCUUUAUCUGAUGUGAAAUAAGCAAACUUAUUGUAAGUUCUUAUUUAAAAAAAAAAAAAAGGAAAAAAAAUAUGAAAUGAGCUAAAACAUUAAGAGAAUGUUGGAUAGCUACAACAAAAUGGAAGAGAAAAUAUUUACCUUCUAAGAGAAGUAGGUGCAUAUAUUUCCUAUCUUCUUGAAUUGCCACGAACAACAAUCAAAUGCAACAAUGAGCAGACAAGAAUUCUUGUAAUCCACAACCAUUUUAAGAUUGCUAAGAGAAAAACUUUGAAAUCUAGCAUCUUCUCAUCCUACAAAUUUUGUCCAUGUUCAAUAUUAAUGGCCAGAAAUUGUGUUUAUAUAGGCAGUGCAAAAUAAAUGCACAAAUUUUUAAGACUAAAAGUAUAAUUAUUCCAAAGAUUUUUUUCAAAAUAACUUACGAUGUUUAGAGAUUUUUACAAGAUUACUUAUGAAAUAUGACAAUUACCUUAAAGAUUUUUACAAUGAUCAUAAUUUUAGAAGAUUUUGUUAGAUAACUUAUGAAAUAUUCCUUUUAUGCAUUUUUACACUUUUUAAAUAUAUAUUAUUAAAAUUUUUAAAUUAAAAAAUUCUAUAAUUAAGAUACUAUUUUAUAUUUUUUUAAUAGGUCGUAUUAGAUUUGGGUUGAGCUCAUACAUGGUUUUAAUAGCUUAUAUGUUUGUCUAAGCCCAACUUGAAAUUUCAGGUUUCAAAAUUUUUUCAAGUUUAGUCUAAAUUAAAAAAAUAAAUCUCAAACUCACCCAUUAAACUUAAUUUAUAUAAUAAAAAUUUAAAAAGUGUGAUUAAAUUAAGUUUAAUAGAAUUAUAUUUAAUUCACAUAUACAAAAAUUAAAAAUUAAAAUUAUAUGUAAAAAUUAAAAUUGAAUUAAAUUAAAUAUAUAUAAUUUUUGUUUUUAUUUUUUAUAUAAAUGUGAAUUAAUUUAUAUAUAAUUCAUAUAUACAUAUAUAUAUAUAAAUAAAUAAAUUUAUAUAUAUGUGAAUUUGGGACAAACCAAACUUAAGUUUUAAUCCAAAGUCUAAUUCAAAUUUAAACGGACUUAAAAAUUAUGCUCAAACUUAUUUAACGAGUUUUAAUUUUUUGUUUAGACUCUCAAAAUUUAAACGAACUUUCGAGCUUGAGCGAAUAAUCCAACUCUUGAACAAGUCUAGUCAUAUUGUGACUAAUUAACUGACUUUCUCUUGAAGUUUUUUUUAUUCAUUUGAUAUGAAAAUUUAUAGUGCUUUUUUUAAGGUUAAAAACCCAAGCUUCUAAAGUUCUACUUACCAUUAUUUCAUGGAAAACAUUUGCUUACUUUAACAUAUAAUUAUUAGAUAAAGAUAAUAGAACACUACAACAAAAAAUUAAUACCACACCAAAUGAUGAUUGACAAUAUUGUCACCUUUCAUAAUAUAGAAAUGCACAAAUAUAUGGCUUACUCUUAUAUAAGAACAUGCCUUUGGAUAACAAAUUUUAAAAAAUUUUGAUAUAAAAACAUUUUAAAAUACAUCAAUUCACAAUAUUAAUCGAUACUAGUGUUCUGAUGCAUGUUUGUAUUAACCUAUUUUUUAAAUAAAGCUUUUUUAUCUUUUUUUUUUUCCUACCCAACUGUCUUUUCACUUUUUUAGAUUGAUUUCACCUAUCUUUUCAAGAAUAAAGAAUUUAUAUAUAACUUUUUUCUUUAGUAAUGAGCCAAGGAGAAAUUCUCCUUCGGUCUUUUCCAAAGGAAAUGCCUAACAUUUGGAUGGUCAAUAUAUAAGGGUAUUUGUGCCUAAUAUAUACAUGUUGGAAUACUAGUGAGCCACAUUUUAAAAGCAAAUAGAAACUGAAAAAAAAAAUGCAUGACCUCAAUGGGAGUUUUGAGAUAAUACUCCAUUUAUUUAUAUAUUUAUUAUCUAAAAAAUAAAAUUGAUAUGACGAGAGACUAUAUGUAUAUAUAUAUAUAUAUAUAUAUAUAUAUAUAAAUGAGGAAGAAUCAAUUUUUAUAAUGUAAUUCUUUUUUAAUUUUAAAUAUUUAUCGAUCCCUCCAUACAUCUAUAUAUAUAUAUAUAUAUAUAUAUAUAUUAAGAAUGUAACUUUUUGUCUACAAGAUUGAUAUUUGUUAUGAUCCUAAUAUCAUAUUUGUAAUUAAGACCAUGAUAAGUGCUAAAAAUGCCAAUGCUCAGAAUCAAUUACAUUUAAUUUUACAAAGUAAAACCCCUUUUUACCAUCUUUUUCCCUAGUUUUGGUUUAUCAAGUGUUUCAAAGCAUCAAGAAAUUUCCUAACUAUCUUGAAACGAAAUUCUCCUUGGAGAAUCUGAAGUAAAUCUCUCCAUAUUCCCUUAUUAAAGAUUUAUUGUAGAACUAUUAUAUUCUUUCAACUUGUUGAUUGAGGACAAGAUUAGACUUAAUAAUUUUAAAUAUGAUAUAAUAAUAUAAUAUAAAAAUAAUAUGAAAAAAAUGCGAAUGCAAUAUAGUUUAAAAUUAACAAAAAUCAUAUAUAAAUUUGAUAAAAAUAAAAAUAUAUAUUUUAUAUUUAAUGUAUCAACAUAAAUUAUAAUAUAAUAAUUUUAUAUUUUAUAUAUAUUUAAUAAGAUAUAAUACGAACAUAUAAGUUAAUAAAUUUUAUAAAGAUAGAUAUCUAUACUUGUAUAUAUGCCAUCUCUUCUUCAAAAACGAGAAAUGAUAUUGACACCAGAGGAGGAUAGCAAGCCAAGGCCCUCCAUUAUCAAGAUUCCUUCCGACUCUUCCUCGAGAGGCGUGCUUUUCUCUCAUGCCUAAGCCCCCCAUGCACGAAACGGUACCCUCUCCCUUCCUACCUCCUCCAUCUAUAAAUACAUGAUCAUGCAAAGCUUUGGAGAUAUAGCAAUCCAUUGCAAGCUGUAACAACUUUAGAAACUCAAAAAACCUUCAGCUCUCAGUUCUCACGUUCAAAAACUUUCCAAGUUCACCAUGUCUGACAAGUGCGGCAACUGUGACUGCGCUGACAAGAGCCAGUGCGU